rfam:Myotis lucifugus cont2.21760, whole genome shotgun sequence.
UUUACUUCUCUAGUUGUAGGACUUCCAUUCAGCCAGCCUUCAGGCGGUUUUGAAUGAUGGUUGUUCUGUAUUUUAGAUGUAAU